GGCAGUGGUAGCUUAGUGGUUAAGAUGUUGGACUAUGGAUUGGAAGGUUGUGAGAUCAAACCCCAGCUCUGAUA